GUCUGAGUCUCAAGUCUGAAUGCAGACCUCGCUCGCUCCUUUCUCUCUCCUCACUCAACCUCGUUCUUCUCUAGCUUAUGCAAGGGCCCCAUUUACCAUCCAAACUACUCUUCUUCCAUACUUCUUCAACCCAAUCAAUGGUUUACAGUAUGAGGUCCUUUGCUGCCCUAAAACACUGUGGCCAUGCUCAUCAUCAUCAAGGUGUACAAGAGCUCCGGAACACGGUUGAUCUCUCAACAACACACACAACAACGACAACGACGACAACAACGCAUGAUGAUAGUAGUGUAGAAGGAAGAAGAAGCUUCUCAUCACUAUCAUUAGCUAUAAAGUUUUAGCCUUUUAUUCGGUGCUAUCCUACCUGAGCUUUAUAUAUUACUCUACCUAUCUUUUUUAUUCUCUUUUUCUUGACCUUGUAAGACCUUUUCUUGACCUUAUAAGGCCUGGUCCAAUCUUCUUAACCCUAGUUUCAAUCCGAACCAAGGUAUUCAUCAUUGAACACGGAUUCGGUAUAUUAGUUAACUAGGGUUUAACAUAACCUUCCAACUCAUCAUUUCACCUCUUGUCUAUCCCUCCUGAGCUACAGAUCCAAUUACUACCUAAGUCGAUCUUCCAUGGAAUGAAGUUGCUUUGUACAGUAUAUGUAUAUCUUCAAUGUUUCAAAAGCUUAGCUUGCUCAUCAAAGGCGGCGGCCUUUCAUCAACAUGUAUGUAUGGAAUACCUUAAGGCUUUAAGGGUGAAUCAACUUGUAAACCCUUCCUUUCACUUCUUAUUGUAUAAUACUUAUAUAUUUUUGUACAUUAUCUCUUAUGAGAACGAAUAUACAAUAUUAAGCCGAAUACCAAAUAGACACUCCUCAUAAAAACAAAAGGGCCUCGAUCUCCCGUGUCCCGUGUGGCACGGCUAAUUUGUUGACCAGGGCAACACAGAAUUUGAGGUGGCUUCUUUUGAAUAUUAAACAGUAGCCAGUUGGUUGGCAGCUUAGAGUUGUGUGAGUUUUAGUGAUGGAAGCUUUAUAUGCUUUGAGCUUCGUUAAAAUUGUUCUCUUUUUCCUAUGUAAGGCCACAUUCAUGGUGUACUAGUAUAUAAUAAUUGACCUUAGCUAGUGCUGUGGUUUGGUGCUGCGCAAAAUAUUUGUCCUUUAGCUUUUUCCUUAAGUAAACAAAUGUUGUUAGUUUCUUACAAGAGGGACCGCAUGUUUGUUACCUUUUUUAAUCAAGUGGAUUGCUGUAGUGACACACUCCCAUGUAUUUUUAGGGCACUGUUCUACUAUACAAAGGUUCAAAUCCUCUUCGAUUCA